rnacentral:rRNA from 1 species
AUUGAACGCUGGCGGCAUGCUUUACACAUGCAAGUCGAACGGUAACAGGCCGCAAGGUGCUGACGAGUGGCGAACGGGUGAGUAAUACAUCGGAACGUGCCCGAUCGUGGGGGAUAACGAAGCGAAAGCUUUGCUAAUACCGCAUAAGAUCUACGGAUGAAAGCAGGGGACCGCAAGGCCUUGCGCGAACGGAGCGGCCGAUGGCAGAUUAGGUAGUUGGUGGGAUAAAAGCUUACCAAGCCGACGAUCUGUAGCUGGUCUGAGAGGACGACCAGCCACACGGGGAAGGAGACACGGCCCAGGCUCCUACGGGAGGCAGCAGUGGGGAAUUUUGGACAAUGGGCGAAAGCCUGAUCUAGCCAUGCCGCGUGCAGGAUGAAGGCCUUCGGGUUGUAAACUGCUUUUGUACGGAACGAAAAGACUCUUUCUAAUAAAGAGGGUCCAUGACGGUACCGUAAGAAUAAGCACCGGCUAACUACGUGCCAGCCGCCGCCGUAAUAC